UUUUAUAUUUUUAGAUUUGAUUUUAAAAAUAAAUUUUAUAAAUUAAAAAAAUAUAUUAUUUUAAUAUAUUUCUAAAAAAAAAUAAACAUAAACAUUAUUUUCCGAGGAGGGAUCUUGCCCAAAUCAAGAUCGUGCAUAAACAUAUAUCAUCCUCUGAGUUGCGGGUGGAAAAUGAUGAUGGAAUAUCCAUUCUUUUCUAUCUUCAAAAAAUCUUUCCUGGCGAGAAUCUUUGUUUUCCUCCAGAUGAAUGGGAGAAUUUCUUGGAGCGGAUUGGCAGAGCAGAAUCUACCGGGGAUGUAGAUCUUCAAGAAAAUUCCAGUGAUUGAUUCCUUGGAGCUUAGGAUCUGGGCAUCUUAUCGUGGACAGACUCUAGCUCGGACUGGUUAGAAUUGUUUUAAUUUUGAAUUCGGGAGAAGAGGAUGCACAAAGUGGUGGAUGAUUAUUCUCAGACAAACUCUUCUACAGCACAAGGUUUUGAGUUGUCACGUGCAGCACGGGCACAAGCAGAUUUGAAAGUUCACUUGUGUCAUCUCCUCCCCCGUGAGUCAAAGUUUUUGACCUGCUGAAUUUUCCUGGACAAUUUCAACAAAAUGGAACUCUUUUAUUUAUUUUUGUUUUUGUUUUAGGAGUUUCUCUAUGUUUAUAUAGUGUUUUACAUUUUUUAAAAAUAUUUUUUAUUUAGUUUUAAAUUAAUUUUUAAAAUUUUUUUUAUUUAAAUAUGUUGAUAUUAAAAAUAAAAAAAAUAUUAUUAUAAUCCCUUCUCCAGGUUUCUAAUAAAAUUAUCAUAUAUUUUUUUGGUUCUAAAAAUUGGCAGUGAUUAUCAGCAUGAAGAAUGUUCAAUUGCCAGCCACCUAUCCCUGCGCGCCUUAUUAUUCCAGAAUCACGUAGUUCUCUGAGUCCCACUCUCGUAUCUCUCAUUUAUCAUUUAUUUCUAUUAUGCGAAUUAAUCAUUUAAUUACACCUAGUUUUGACAAAAAUAAGUUUUAUUUUCAGUCCAAAUCUAAACAAAAA